rnacentral:rRNA from 1 species
GUGACGGUACCUACAGAAGAAGCACCGGCUAACUACGUGCCAGCAGCCGCGGUAAUACGUAGGGUGCGAGCGUUAUCCGGAAUUAUUGGGCGUAAAGAGCUCGUAGGCGGUUUGUCGCGUCUGUCGUGAAAGUCCGGGGCUUAACCCCGGAUCUGCGGUGGGUACGGGCAGACUAGAGUGCAGUAGGGGAGACUGGAAUUCCUGGUGUAGCGGUGGAAUGCGCAGAUAUCAGGAGGAACACCGAUGGCGAAGGCAGGUCUCUGGGCUGUAACUGACGCUGAGGAGCGAAAGCAUGGGGAGCGAACAGGAUUAGAUACCCUGGUAGUCCAUGCCGUAAACGUUGGGCACUAGGUGUGGGGACCAUUCCACGGUUUCCGCGCCGCAGCUAACGCAUUAAGUGCCCCGCCUGGGGAGUACGGCCGCAAGGCUAAAACUCAAAGGAAUUGACGGGGGCCCGCACAAGCGGCGGAGCAUGCGGAUUAAUUCGAUGCAACGCGAAGAACUUACCAGUCUUGACAUCCUCUGAAAACCCUAAGAUAGGGCUUCUCCUUCGGGAGCAGAGUGACAGGUGGUGCAUGGUUGUCGUCAGCUCGUGUCGUGAGAUGUUGGGUUAAGUCCCGCAACGAGCGCAACCCUUGAUCUUAGUUGCCAUCAUUAAGUUGGGCACUCUAAGGUGACUGCCGGUGACAAACCGGAGGAAGGUGGGGAUGACGUCAAAUCAUCAUGCCCCGUUAUGACCUGGGCUACACACGUGCUACAAUGGACGGUACAAAGAGCUGCAAGACCGCGAGGUGGAGCUAAUCUCAUAAAACCGUUCUCAGUUCGGAUUAGUAGCGCAUGAAACUCGCCUACAUGAAGCUGGAAUCGCUAGUAAUCGAGGAUCAGCAUGCCGCAGGUGAAUACGUUCCCGGGCCUUGUACACACCAGACACGUCACACCAAGAGAG